CGGGGUAUAGCGCAGCUUGGUAGCGCGCCUGCUUUGGGAGCAGGAAGUCGGGAGUUCGAAUCUCCCUACCCCGACCA
rnacentral:tRNA from 1 species